AUUUUGUAGAUGACAACCUGGACUUCCUUUCCCCACAGGAAGUAGCACAGGACUAGCAAGUGCAGCAUUAGCAGCAUGAUAAAACUUUGAAGUGGAGGAGCAACAGCAGCAGUAGCAGCAUGGCCACAAAAUUGUGUGGGUUGUGUUUCAGGAGCUACGUUAAUUUGAAGCAACACCUGAAUGUUUCCCACACAGUUCCCAAUAAAGAGGAAUUUUGUCUGUUGAUGAAAUAUGGGAACGCUAGGACAAGUGACCCCUUAGACUGCCCUGUGUGCGACAGGGCGCAAUUAGUUCGCCUGGACAAGCAUCUGCAGGAGAGACAUUUGUUAAACGCAGAGGAAAGAGAGCCUCUGCUAAAGGAUGCCAAGAGACAGCGCAUUAAAAAGGAGCUCGCUGCUCUCCGCCGUACUGGUCCUGAAAUACCAAUGGUAUCAUGUUUGGACGAUCUUACCUCUAAUGACGAAUUAUAUGAGAGAAUGCCCACUGGGGAAGACGAUAUGCCCCUCGAUGAAGAGCAGCCGCUCAACCAGGUUGUGAGUCCAGAGUCAGUGCAUCGUCAACCUGAAAUUGGUCUUCCUGUUUUAUCAUCCACUCCCGAAAAACCACAUCUCAGCCCUGGUGGCCAGAAAACCUCCUCCGCUGGACAGACAUCCUCCUCCGGUGUCCCAAGAUCUUCCUCCAGUGUCGACACAAUCUUCUCCGAGGUCCAGACAUCCUCCUCCAGUGUCCCAAGAUCCUCCUCCAGUGUCAACACAACCUUCUCCAAGGUCCAGAUAUCCUCCUCCAGUGGCCAGACCUCCUCUGCUGGACAGACACCCUGCUCCAGUGUCUUCAUAUCCUCCUCUGGUGUCAACACAUCCUCCUCUGGUGUCCCAACAUCCUCCUCUGGUGGCCAGACCCCCUCCUCAAGUUGCCAGACAUCCUCCUCCAGUGGUCUUGAUCAUAGCCAUCCUCUGCCUUCCUCACCUGUUAUGCAGAAUCGAGGAAGCGAGAGUCCACUUCCGAAUCAAGGCAACUGCAACUGCAACUGUGAAAACGUUUCAGCCAGAUUGCAGCAGCUCGAACACAUGGUAAACAGACUUAUGAGAGCCCAAACUUCGACACCCAAGACACCCAGAGGCAUACCGUCAAAACUAACUGGCUCAGCCCAAAAACAUGAACAUGUGAGAAAGUUGGAGAAGUCGGAACAUUUAUUUCAGAGGCUCAUCGAUGACUACAGGAAGUUUCGACUGGGUUCACGGACAGCAACAAAAGACAAGGAUAAUGCGAGGCAGGCAGCGAGCCAUGCGCUCCGUUUUUGCCUCUAUAUGGCUACUGGGCUACCUGAAAAAAUGGUCUCCAUGGAUUUGAAGUUCCUUCUCCAGAUAGACAAAUUGCGCACGUAUCCACUAUACCUCGCCCAAAAGGGUUACGUCCCAACCACUGUGAGAAACAUGAUGACAAAUAUCAACAUGUUCAUCAGGCAUGUGAAGUGCUCAUUCCAGUUGGUCAGCAAAGUCAAAUCUACUGAGUUCGACAAAAUCCUCUAUGAACUUAAGAUGCUUCAGGCGAAUGUGCACAAGCACGUUGUUGUCCACCGGCAGAAGGUGGUGAAAAAGAAGACAGAUCAACUGCUUGAUGCGAAAAAGGAAGUGACAUUUAUGAAGGUCGCCAAAAAGAAAAUUCCUGAAUUGCUUCAAUUCUUACCUGCUGAUGGAAGUUUUGGUAAGAAACAUUGUCAGCUCAUGGGCUACCUCAUGGGCUACCUGUGCAUCCUUUCGGGACAUCGCACCAUCGUCCUUACCAACAUGACCCGUGAUCAGGUGAUGUCAGCGGACUGCUGGGGUGGUGGCAAAAAGUAUAGGGUUCUGGUAGAUGAACACAAAACUAUGAGCUCAUUCGGGCAAGCUGCGGUGUGCCUGAACAAGACAGAGUUUGGGUGGGUGAAAAAAGUUGCCUUCGGUGACUGCUGCCUUUGUGGUGAGGACAACGAAUAUGUUUUCCACACAAUAUUAGGCAGGCAUAUCAUGAAGCCGUCAUUCUUCCUCCAUAUGGCUUGGCUGGACGCUGGAUUGACA
rnacentral:lncRNA from 15 species